GGUGAACGCUGGCGGCGUGCUUAAGACAUGCAAGUCGAACGGCAGUCUUCGGACUGUAGUGGCGCACGGGUGAGUAACGCGUAACUGACCUACCCCAAAGUCGCGGAUAACGAUUCGAAAGAAUCGCUAAUACGUGAUGUGCUGUCAGACUGUGUUCUGCCAGUAAAGAUUGAUUGCUUUGGGAUGGGGUUGCGUUCCAUCAGCUAGCUGGUGGGGUAAAGGCCCACCAAGGCGACGACGGAUAGCCGGCCUGAGAGGGUGGCCGGCCACAGGGGCACUGAGACACGGGUCCCACUCCUACGGGAGGCAGCAGUUAGGAAUCUUCCACAAUGGGCGAAAGCCUGAUGGAGCGACGCCGCGUGAGGGAUGAAGGUCUUCGGAUCGUAAACCUCUGAAUCAGGGACGAAAGACACUUCGGUGGGAUGACGGUACCUGAGUAAUAGCACCGGCUAACUCCGUGCCAGCCGCCGCUGUAAUAC
rnacentral:rRNA from 1 species